rnacentral:misc_RNA from 1 species
GGUUGAAAAAGGACAACAAACCCCAAUAAGAAUCCCUGGUUUUCUUCAUUGGUUUUGAGAUUCCCUUGAGUUUCCAUCUUGAGGGUGGUUUUUCCUCGCUGUUCUGGGCAGGGAAGCUCGCCUUCGGCUUCCCCUAACUGGAUGUGGUCGUCCCUCCCCACAUCUAGUAGGGUUGUAUAGUUUUUAUUCUUUUGGUGGUGCAGGAGUCUCACGAUUUGGGAGCAGCUACUUUAUCUGUGUAGGUUGUCGUCUUUUUUCGCUGAGAUAAG